ACCGACGGAUAUUUUUAAUCGGCGGGACCCAUCUUUUUGCAGGGCGGGGAUUCAACGGCCCCGCUACGUCGUCGUCUCGUUGGAGUCACGUGAUCGGCUCGUGACUUUAAAACGUGGCGCCAAAUCUGUAGCCGGAGCGCCAAGCUUCGAAAAGGGAGAAGAAGCUUCGAGCUUUUGCAGAGACAGGGGAGACGGCAUCGUCUUCCGCGGCUGCUUCGAAUUUUGAAAAUUUGAUGCAGAUCGCGGCGAAGUUCGGAAGGGAACCGCGGAGGUUUUCUUCCGGAAAGUGAAGGUCUUGAAGGACGACGGCGACGGCGACGGUUGUGGUUGAUCCUGGGCAGUUGCUGCCUAAGGGUUCUGCUGGAAUUUGUAUGGCCAAGAGAAUGCCAGUGACGACAAUCGCAAAAUCUGUUGAUGCAAAUGAGCGUGGAGGUAGAAAGAGAGGAAAUUUUUGUGGACGUAAUUGAAAUUGAGUGUUACAUUCAGUUCCAGUGGAUAUACACUUCUGAGAUUGAUGGUACCAUCCAAUUGAAGAGUUAUCUCACAAGCAAUCCAGAAAUUUGACUUGCUCUUAAUGAGGAAGUGAGUAUUGGAAGAGGUGGAGGCUCAGCCUAUGGUAAUCAUUCUGCGGUAGAAAAUGCUUUUAGGAGUCGGUGGUCUUCAUGAACUGUCUUUCUUUAAUAGUUUGCUGGGAUUGAGUGUGAUCUGUGAGAUUUGAAUGUCAGAACCGUUAGUAGCAUUGCCCUCUUAAUCUGAUUAUGCUGCCUCUUCCAACGGAUUAUAUUUUAGGAACAGGGGUUGUUAUACUGGAUGAUUGUAAUUUCCACGAAUCUGUACAUCUUGAUAGUUUCAAUGUUGACAGAACACUUACAUUGGUGAGUCUGAUUGAGACACUGUAAUUUUUCAUCGUCUGCAGUACUUCUUGAGGAUGGAGAUAUAACUACUGUUCUGUCAGUGCUAAAGUUAAUAGAUCACGCCACUGUUUAAUAGGUACCAGCAGAUGGCGAAUUUCCUGUCAUGAAUUUCUUAUGUAAACGUUGAUACUUUCAAGUAGGGUUCAGGAUUGACAGGAUCAACAACAGUGGAGCAAUUCCAGUUAGGCAGACAAUUCAUCUCCUAAAUUAUUCCUUUUCUUUCUCCUCUUUAAUAUGUUUCAUGGAAUUGGCCCUUGUAUAUUACACACUAUUUAUUAUGUUUCAGUUCAAACUUGGGACAGCUUUUAGAAAAUUUGGAUGAACUUUUACUCAGCGAUAAUUCUUUAGGCAGCCACAUGCAAGAAUGGGGAAAAACUUAAUCUUUCAAACUGGUUCCAUAUUUGCAUUACCGAUUAUCUUGUCCGCUCUGGGCCACAUCAGGGUUAGUUUUAAGUUGGAACCUGGAGCGGUUGGAAACACUACUGAUGGGUUUGCUUCAGUGUUCGAAAUUAGUAACAGGUGCCUUACAUUGUAGAUUGUUGGUGGAUCUGAACUUACAUUACAGGCAAAGCUGACAUUUUCACAGGAAUCACUUGGAAAUAUUACCAAAGAAGCAGGACCUCUUAGCAUGACCUUCACAAUACCUAUAGUCAAUGCUUCAAGGCUUCUGGUAAGAUUUUCUCUUGACCUUCUAAAGACCUAACCGGAUGCAUCCAAUUUCUGUUGACCUAUGGUACAAACUCAGAGCUUAAAUUUUCUUAAUGCUAUUAGAAUUGUGUAGAAACAAGGGCUGGAAGUCUACGUAAGCAGUGCUACCAAAUUAAAACUGACUCGUGUCCUACAAGUGAAUGUUAUGUGUAAUUCAAAAUUAGGUUCUACAUUAGCCAUCUAGGUGAGUUAGUUGACGUUAAUUUGAGAAUCAAACUCACAACGCGAACCAGUUCUGUAUUUUUUAUUUUUCAUACGUCUAUAAUCAUGUAUUCUCAGUUAUUCUAAGAUGUUGUGUUUCUUCAUCUGUCUUGAUACAGGUAAAGUACUUGCAUAUAACAAAGAAGUGGAAGAGCUACAAUCCAUAUCGAUGGGUGAGAUAUGCCACACACUCAAAUUCCUACGUUGCUGGGUUGUAAUAUCUCAUCACCCUAAACUUGAGGGAUGUGUUCUACUUAUUGAUGUUAAUUAUAAUGACAUGACGCAACUGGGCGUUGGACUCUGAUGUAUCAGCAGGGAGCAUGCCCUCUACUGCAGAAAGGGAAACACAUUGGAAGCCCAUCGACACAAUACACGAGUCACAAUCAGGCUAGUAAACUGACCAGUUGAGUUCUCUGUGCUUUAGCGAAUGUUUCGAUUGACUUGCAUCAAGACAAAAAAUGUCAAGUUCAAUUAUUUUUAAUACUUGUGUGCUGGAGAUUAUUAGGGUAUAUAUACUGCGCAGUUUCGAUGUCUUUUUGGGAGAACUUGAUUCAUAUCACCAUCUCUGAGAUUCUGAACAGAAGUGGUGUGAAGGAAACUUGGAUGAUGGGACUCAUCUUUCUCUAGAUUAUCCGUGGAAUAGCCGAUAGCGAAAUGCCGUCCAGAUCGUGUGCUCAUUCCAAAUGGCUAAUACUAAAGAAAGCACCCGGAUGCCACUUACUCGAUUCAGCUAAUCUACGUAUAAAGUUUCCGACGAAAGGUAUCUGCUGCCCUCAAAUUUCAAAUUCUUGAUAAUCUUUGACAUCAACAAUUAUGCACAGAUACAUUUGCUUUAGGAAUAUGAUGCUUGGUUUCGUUGCUU